rnacentral:misc_RNA from 1 species
CCAAAAAUUAAAAUCAAAUACUACAAAAUUACAAAUAAAUCAGCACAAAUUAUCUAACAACAAAAUCCGUAAACAAAUAAUUUAAUGUAAGAGUGAUCUGUGGAAUUAAUCAUCUAUAAAUAGAAGAAAAUAUAAAUAACUUAAAUCCGAAUACGUAAAAAUUUUGAAAUCUACUUUACCCAGAAUUUAUUAUUCGGCAAUUUAGUUAAAAGCACGUGGUUUUUUUUGUCUAAAAAUGGUCCGCAAACUAAAGUUUCAUGAGCAAAAGCUCCUCAAAAAAGUAGACUUUAUCUCGUGGAAAGUUGACAAUAAUUUAAACGAGGUGAAAGCUAUGAAAAAGUAUUAUAUACAAAAGCGCGAAGAUUAUACCAAGUAUAAUAAGUUAGCACGAGAAAUACGCGAGCUUGCAAACAAAAUAAAAGAUUUAGAUGCUAACACUGAAUUCAGAACUGAGGCGAGUGCACAGCUUUUGGAAAAGUUGUACCAAAUGGGGCUCAUCCCAACCAGAUGGGAUUUGGCACUUGCAAGCAAUGUUUCGGCCAGCUCUUUCUGCAAAAGACGACUACCAGUUGUUAUGAAGAGAAAUAAAAUGUCAGAGUACCUAAAAGAAGCUACAAAACUCAUAGAACAGGGUCAUGUUAGGGUGGGUCCAGAGGUUGUGAAGGACCCUGCGUUUUUGGUGACAAGAUCACUGGAAGACUUUGUGACGUGGGUUGAUGGGUCCGCUAUCAGGAAACAUGUUAUGGAGUACAAUGAAAUGGUAUGUACAUACAAUAGAGCUUCUUAAGUUGAAAAACUGAAUGAUUUUAAAUGUGCAAGGAAAAUUACUCAUUCCAAUAUUGCAUUAAUGGUGAUACAAGUUUUCUGUAACUAUAGACUCAUUUGUGCACUAGAUAAUACCACUGACUUUGUCCAUCCUUAGAUCUGUAUAAUCCAGCCCUCUAAAAAGGAUUAAAGGAUGUCUACUAACUAUUAACUACAUCCCUGUCAAAUUUCAUCUUUGUACAAGCAGCUUUAUAUAGUACAAUCUUAUAUAAACUAAAAGUUAAUAUUCCAACACAAGUAAUGUAGAAGAGAUUAAAGGCAGAAUUAUAUUUGUUGGAUGUGUCGUGUCAUGACGCAUCAUAACAGAAUCAGUAUCAUACAUUUUAUAUGGCAAUAUUUACACUUAUGUGUUGUAAUAUGUCAUGAUGACUUCUGAUGUGCCACAUACAAAAUAUAUAAAACUGUUCUGUUAUGGUUCUGUUUGGAUGUGUUACAACACAACAUGUCAGACAAAUGUAAAUUCGGCUUCCACACUUAUGACGAUGAUGCAGGUAUGUGGUAGAUAAUAUUAACAAUAAGAUAUUUCUUUUGUUACAGAGAGAUGAUUUUGACAUGGUUUGAAAUAACAACUUUUUUGCACUCAUGCUAGAGAGCAACAACAAUGAAUACCAGUCAUGACUUUACUAUAAUCUACAAUGUGCAGUUCUGGCUAAUAAUUAAACUACUAACUAUGCUUAAUUGAAAAGGAAAUUGGAAUAAAAGUCAUAAAAUUGUAAAUAUGUACAACAUAGAGAUAAAUAUAUUUAACAAUUGA